ACAAGCGGUGGAGUAUGUGGUUUAAUUCGAUGCAACGCGAAGAACUUACCUGGUCUUGACAUCCGGAGACCCUUAGGAAACUAGGGGGUGCUUCCAUCUGGAAGAAUCUGGAGACAGGUGCUGCAUGGCUGUCGUCAGCUCGUGUCGUGAGAUGUUGGGUUAAGUCCCGCAACGAGCGCAACCCUUGCCUUUAGUUGCCAGCAGUUCGGCUGGGCACUCUAAAGGGACUGCCGGUGUUAAACCGGAGGAAGGUGGGGAUGACGUCAAGUCCUCAUGGCCUUUAUGACCAGGGCUACACACGUACUACAAUGGCCGAUACAAAGGGCAGCGACACUGCGAGGUGAAGCCAAUCCCGUAAAAUCGGUCUCAGUCCGGAUUGGAGUCUGCAACUCGACUCCAUGAAGUUGGAAUCGCUAGUAAUCGUGGAUCAGCAUGCCACGGUGAAUACGUUCCCGGGCCUU
rnacentral:rRNA from 1 species